rnacentral:rRNA from 1 species
UGGGGAAUCUUGGACAAUGGGCGCAAGCCUGAUCCAGCCAUGCCGCGUGAGUGAAGAAGGCCUUCGGGUUGUAAAGCUCUUUUGUCAGGGACGAUAAUGACGGUACCUGAAGAAUAAGCCCCGGCAAACUUCGUGCCAGCAGCCGCGGUAAUACGAAGGGGGCUAGCGUUGUUCGGAAUUACUGGGCGUAAAGCGCACGUAGGCUGAUUGUUAAGUCAGGGGUGAAAUCCCAGAGCUCAACUCUGGAACUGCCCUUGAUACUGGCAAUCUCGAGUCCGGAAGAGGUUAGUGGAAUUCCCAGUGUAGAGGUGAAAUUCGUAGAUAUUGGGAAGAACACCAGUGGCGAAAGGCGGCUAACUGGUCCGGUACUGACGCUGAGGUGCGAAAGCGUGGGGAGCAAACAGGAUUAGAUACCCAAGUAGUCCCUGAGCGGGC